rnacentral:rRNA from 1 species
UACAGAGGGUGCGAGCGUUGUUCGGAAUUAUUGGGCGUAAAGGGCGCGUAGGCGGUGCGGUAAGUCGGGUGUGAAAUCUUGGAGCUUAACUCCGAAACUGCAUUCGAUACUGCCGUGCUUGAGGACUGGAGAGGAGACUGGAAUUUACGGUGUAGCGGUGAAAUGCGUAGAUAUCGUAAGGAAGACCAGUGGCGAAGGCGGGUCUCUGGACAGUUCCUGACGCUGAGGCACGAAGGUCAGGGGAGCAAACGGG